UACAGAGGUCUCAAGCGUUGUUCGGAUUCAUUGGGCGUAAAGGGUGCGUAGGCGGCGCGGUAAGUCGGGUGUGAAAUCUCGGGGCUUAACUCCGAAACUGCAUUCGAUACUGCCGUGCUUGAGGACUGGAGAGGAGACUGGAAUUUACGGUGUAGCGGUGAAAUGCGUAGAUAUCGCAAGGAAGACCAGUGGCGAAGGCGGGUCUCUGGACAGUUCCUGACGCUGAGGCACGAAGGCCAGGGGGGCAAACGGG
rnacentral:rRNA from 1 species